AACAAAAUGAAUGUAAAUGUCAAAUCCUCCAGUGAGGUCAGUGUUUUACUCAUUCGAGGCUGCUGCACAAGAACUAUGAAACCAAAGCAUCACUUUCCCUCACUAAACACAACGCCUGAAAACUGCUCAUCACAGUCAGAUGACCCCACCAUCUCUGCCUACCUUCUGGACAUCUCUUCUUGGAUGAAAGAGAUUCACCUACAACUCAACCUCUCCCAGACAGAACUUUUUGUUAUACCGGCCGAAACAUCACUCGAACACAAUCUUACUAUUCAGCUCGGAUCCUCAACUAUAACACCCACCUAGUCUGCGAGGAACCUGGGGGUGAUGUUUGACAACCAGCUGAAAUUCACAUCGCAGCAUCCACUCGAUCUUGUAGAUAUGUGCUCUUAAACAUCAGGAAAAUCAAGUAGUUCCUGUCGGAGUAUAUCUCUCUGCUACUAGUCCAAGCUCUGGUCAUAUCAAGACUGGACAUCUGCAAUUCUCUUAUUCUCAAUUCUCUACUGGACGGCCUUCCUACAGUCAAGCCCUUACAAACGAUCCAGAAUGCAGCUGCACGUCUAGUUUUCAAUCAGCCUAAAAUAAACCGAUGUAACACCCCUCCUGAUUCCACUUCACUGGCUUCCAGUUGCCGCCCGCAUCAAGUUUAAAUCUCUGACACUUGCCUUAGAAUGAUAAUGGAAAAUUCUCCCAUUUACCUUAAAUCACUGCUCCAGGUCUACAAAACCCCCAUCUUCUGUGGUCCGAAAAUGAGUGACACAUGGCUGUCACAUCACAGCGAGGCAACAAGUCGCUUGCAAAAACCUUAACUUAUUCGGUUCCCCUGCGGUGGAAUGAACUGCCAGCCUCAACUCAAACUGCAGGAUCCUUCACAACUUUCUUUCAAUUCAGUGACAGAUUUCCCCACAUCAUCAGAUUUUUCUACCUACCCAAAAUGCACUGCUGCCCCCAUGAUUCACUUCUGCUUGCUGUUUCUGUUAAUGCGCUUGAACCCCAUUGGCCCAUUGCCGUCAUGUGCUCGCUGCCUGCUAAUUAAGACUCAGUCGCCUGUCAAAUCACUGAAGCGACCCCUCGAAGCCACCUUUGACCUGGGAAUUCCUCAUAGCCUCAUGCAGCCUUUACCAAAGCGACCUACGCUUGAGAAAGCCAACGGCGCCGCAAGCAUGUUCAGUGCUGGCAUGCUCCAGUACCAACAGGCUCUGACAUCUGAGGCUGCUGCACAAGAGCUAUGAAACCAAAGCAUCACUUUCCCUCACUAAACACAACGCCUGAAAACUGCUCAUCACAGGUGAUCCUACCUGCUGAAAGCACCUGCUUGGAUGCUUAACGCCCUCCAUCAAGUCUUACACCUGCCCUUUGCUUAUAGUUGCUGUAAGAUAUUGUGCUGCAUUCUAAAAGACUUGUUUUAUGCACAUUUAUUAUUGUUAGAAUUGACUCUUACUGUUAUGAUUAAAAACCUUAAUAAACAAAAAUGGAUUUCCUCGAGAGGUGUCACUGUGUGAAAUGUUUCCAGUUAUUUUCCCUGCUAGUCGAUAUGUUUAUUAAAAGUAUGAUCUUUCAAAGGUUAAGAUAAUAAAAGCCAAAUUCCCUCAUUCAUAUUUUAAGUCGGCAUAUAGAAAAAAAUUUAUUGACUAAAUGUGUAAUUUUCUAUCAAUAAUACUAAUACUUUUGGGGUAUGGGAUGAUCAAAACCCAUUUGUAUGC